rnacentral:rRNA from 1 species
GGGGCAAGCGUUGUUCGGAAUUACUGGGCGUAAAGGGCGCGUAGGUGGUUCGUUAAGUCUGAUGUGAAAGCCCUGGGCUCAACCUGGGAAUGGCAUUGGAAACUGGCGACCUAGAGUGCGGUAGAGGGUAGUGGAAUUCCCGGUGUAGCAGUGAAAUGCGUAGAGAUCGGGAGGAACAUCCGUGGCGAAGGCGACUACCUGGACCAGCACUGACACUGAGGCACGAAAGCGUGGGGAGCGAACAGG